UCAAGUUUAAGGUGGUAGGCUGAAAUCUUAGGUAAAUCCGGGGUUUCAAGGCCGAGAGCUGAUGACGAGUCGUCUUUUAGAUGACGAAGUGGUUGAUGCCAUGCUUCCAAGAAAAGCUUCUAAGCUUCAGGUAACCAGGAACCGUACCCCAAACCGACACAGGUGGUCGGGUAGAGAAUACCAAGGCGCUUGAGAGAACUCGGGUGAAGGAACUAGGCAAAAUGGCACCGUAACUUCGGGAGAAGGUGCGCCGGCUAGGGUGAAGGAUUUACUCCGUAAGCUCUGGCUGGUCGAAGAUACCAGGCCGCUGCGACUGUUUAUUAAAAACACAGCACUCUGCAAACACGAAAGUGGACGUAUAGGGUGUGACGCCUCCCCGGUGCCGGAAGGUUAAUUGAUGGGGUUAGCGCAAGCGAAGCUCUUGAUCGAAGCCCCGGUAAACGGCGGCCGUAACUAUAACGGUCCUAAGGUAGCGAAAUUCCUUGUCGGGUAAGUUCCGACCUGCACGAAUGGCGUAACGAUGGCGGCGCUGUCUCCACCCGAGACUCAGUGAAAUUGAAAUCGCUGUGAAGAUGCAGUGUAUCCGCGGCUAGACGGAAAGACCCCGUGAACCUUUACUGUAGCUUUGCACUGGACUUUGAGCCUGCUUGUGUAGGAUAGGUGGGAGGCUUUGAAGCGUGGACGCCAGUUCGCGUGGAGCCAUCCUUGAAAUACCACCCUGGCAUGCUUGAGGUUCUAACUCUGGUCCGUAAUCCGGAUCGAGGACAGUGUAUGGUGGGCAGUUUGACUGGGGCGGUCUCCUCCUAAAGAGUAACGGAGGAGUACGAAGGUGCGCUCAGACCGGUCGGAAAUCGGUCGCAGAGUAUAAAGGCAAAAGCGCGCUUGACUGCGAGACAGACACGUCGAGCAGGUACGAAAGUAGGUCUUAGUGAUCCGGUGGUUCUGUAUGGAAGGGCCAUCGCUCAACGGAUAAAAGGUACUCCGGGGAUAACAGGCUGAUACCGCCCAAGAGUUCAUAUCGACGGCGGUGUUUGGCACCUCGAUGUCGGCUCAUCACAUCCUGGGGCUGAAGCCGGUCCCAAGGGUAUGGCUGUUCGCCAUUUAAAGUGGUACGCGAGCUGGGUUUAGAACGUCGUGAGACAGUUCGGUCCCUAUCUGCCGUGGACGUUUGAGAUUUGAGAGGGGCUGCUCCUAGUACGAGAGGACCGGAGUGGACGAACCUCUGGUGUUCCGGUUGUCACGCCAGUGGCAUUGCCGGGUAGCUAUGUUCGGAAAAGAUAACCGCUGAAAGCAUCUAAGCGGGAAACUUGCCUCAAGAUGAGAUCUCACUGGGAACUUGAUUCCCCUGAAGGGCCGUCGAAGACUACGACGUUGAUAGGCUGGGUGUGUAAGCGUUGUGAGGCGUUGAGCUAACCAGUACUAAUUGCCCGUGAGGCUUGAUC
rnacentral:rRNA from 1 species